AGAGAGAGAGAGAUUUCCUGUUCCUGGAUUGGAUGAAUGCUAAGGUGGCACAAUGGAUAAAAUGCUGGAUGUGGGGUUAGAUAGAAGUGAAUUAAAAUUCUGCAGACACACAUUAAUUAUGUUAAGGCUCAACUCUAUAGAUUUGGGAGAAUCUAAGCAUUUUAAUAUUGCACUUUAUCAAUAAAAAUAUACAUACACAUUCACUUAUUUAUAAAG